AUUGAACGCUGGCGGCAGGCCUAACACAUGCAAGUCGAACGAGUGGCGGACGGGUGAGUAAUGUCUGGGAAACUGCCCGAUGGAGGGGGAUAACUACUGGAAACGGUAGCUAAUACCGCAUACCAUCGGAUGUGCCCAGAUGGGAUUAGCUAGUAGGUGGGGUAACGGCUCACCUAGGCGACGAUCCCUAGCUGGUCUGAGAGGAUGACCAGAGACACGGGAACGGAGACACGGUCAAGAAUCCGACGGGAGGCAGCAGUGGGGAAUAUUGCAAAAUGGGCGCAAGCCUGAUGCAGCCAUGCCGCGUGUAUGAAGAAGGCCUUCGGGUUGUAAAGUACUUUCAGCGAGGAGGCGUUACUCGCAGAAGAAGCACGGGCUAACUCCGUGCCAGGAGCCGCGGUAAUAC
rnacentral:rRNA from 1 species